ACCUAGCGGCGGACGGGUGAGUAAUGCUUAGGAAUCUGCCUAUUAGUGGGGGACAACAUCUCGAAAGGGAUGCUAAUACCGCAUACGUCCUACGGGAGAAAGCAGGGGACCUUCGGGCCUUGCGCUAAUAGAUGAGCCUAAGUCGGAUUAGCUAGUUGGUGGGGUAAAGGCCUACCAAGGCGACGAUCUGUAGCGGGUCUGAGAGGAUGAUCCGCCACACUGGGACUGAGACACGGCCCAGACUCCUACGGGAGGCAGCAGUGGGGAAUAUUGGACAAUGGGGGGAACCCUGAUCCAGCCAUGCCGCGUGUGUGAAGAAGGCCUUUUGGUUGUAAAGCACUUUAAGCGAGGAGGAGGCUACCGAGAUUAAUACUCUUGGAUAGUGGACGUUACUCGCAGAAUAAGCACCCGGCUAACUCUGUGCCAGCAGCCGCGGUAAUACAGAGGGUGCAAGCGUUAAUCGGAUUUACUGGGCGUAAAGCGCGCGUAGGUGGCCAAUUAAGUCAAAUGUGAAAUCCCCGAGCUUAACUUGGGAAUUGCAUUCGAUACUGGUUGGCUAGAGUAUGGGAGAGGAUGGUAGAAUUCCAGGUGUAGCGGUGA
rnacentral:rRNA from 1 species